UGGCAUUUUCAGUGCAUCUUAUUUACCAGUGGUUAAUUGUAUGUUUUGCAGAACAUCUGCAACAAUCUACGUCGUCAAACUUGUUAAAAAUGAGAUGAACGUGUUAGUUGCUACAUUUAUCACGCUACAACCAGUCUUUGCUACCCAAGACCCAUCCAAGGUAUUUUCGCAAGAAAUCUGGAACGAAUUCAAAAAAAAUAUCCUACUCGAUGGGUUAGUCAUAGCGAGUAUUUCAGCGGCUAUUAUUUUUGGAACUUUGAUGGUCUGUUUGUACAAGUACAUCCAAAGCAAAAAGACACCGCGGUCGGACGAUUCAAAUCAGGAGGUUGUAAGCAACGAUUCAAAUCAGGAGAGAGUGAGCUACGAUUCAAGGAGUGGUUCGGUAGACUUGCAGUUCAAUCAAAACAUGCGACCGUUGCAGUUUUUAGUAAAACUGAUGUUACCUUUUACGAAAAAACGUUUUGAGAGAAAGAA